UUUUCUGCAGAGCGUCACUCAGGAUUGCUUGCACAUGAUCGACAUGCUCGCAUGCCAAGUCAUUUACAAGUUCAACGACGCUCUCUGGUUCCAGUUCAUUUGCAUGUCCGGCGUUUGGCUCACAAUUCAUGUUUUUGACGGGUUUGU
ensembl:ncRNA K09H11.13 ncRNA